rnacentral:rRNA from 1 species
UACGGAGGGUGCAAGCGUUAUCCGGAUUCACUGGGUUUAAAGGGUGCGUAGGCGGACACUUAAGUCCGUGGUGAAAUCUCUGGGCUUAACCCAGAAACUGCCAUGGAUACUAUUUGUCUUGAAUGUUGUGGAGGUUAGCGGAAUAUGUCAUGUAGCGGUGAAAUGCAUAGAUAUGACAUAGAACACCAAUUGCGAAGGCAGCUGGCUACACAAAUAUUGACGCUGAGGCACGAAAGCGUGGGGAUCAAACAGG